UAUUGAUCAUGGCUCAGGUUGGCUCACCUCCUUAGAGUUUGAUCAUGGCUCAGAGUGAACGCUGGCGGUAGGCCUAACACAUGCAAGUCGAACGGCAGCACAGGAGAGCUUGCUCUCUGGGUGGCGAGUGGCGGACGGGUGAGGAAUACAUCGGAAUCUACUCUGUCGUGGGGGAUAACGUAGGGAAACUUACGCUAAUACCGCAUACGACCUACGGGUGAAAGCAGGGGAUCUUCGGACCUUGCGCGAUUGAAUGAGCCGAUGUCGGAUUAGCUAGUUGGCGGGGUAAAGGCCCACCAAGGCGACGAUCCGUAGCUGGUCUGAGAGGAUGAUCAGCCACACUGGAACUGAGACACGGUCCAGACUCCUACGGGAGGCAGCAGUGGGGAAUAUUGGACAAUGGGCGCAAGCCUGAUCCAGCCAUA
rnacentral:rRNA from 1 species